AUUGAACGCUGGCGGCAGGCCUAACACAUGCAAGUCGAGCGGAUGAGUGGAGCUUGCUCCAUGAUUCAGCGGCGGACGGGUGAGUAAUGCCUAGGAAUCUGCCUGGUAGUGGGGGACAACGUUUCGAAAGGAACGCUAAUACCGCAUACGUCCUACGGGAGAGAGUGGGGGAUCUUCGGACCUCACGCUAUCAGAUGAGCCUAGGUCGGAUUAGCUAGUUGGUGAGGUAAAGGCUCACCAAGGCGACGAUCCGUAACUGGUCUGAGAGGAUGAUCAGUCACACUGGAACUGAGACACGGUCCAGACUCCUACGGGAGGCAGCAGUGGGGAAUAUUGGACAAUGGGCGAAAGCCUGAUCCAGCCAUGCCGCGUGUGUGAAGAAGGUCUUCGGAUUGUAAAGCACUUUAAGUUGGGAGGAAGGGCAGUAAGUUAAUACCUUGCUGUUCUGACGUUACCAACAGAAUAAGCACCGGCUAACUUCGUGCCAGCCGCCGCAGUAACAC
rnacentral:rRNA from 1 species